rnacentral:rRNA from 1 species
AUUGAACGCUGGCGGCAGGCUUAACACAUGCAAGUCGAGCGGAGAUGAGGUGCUUGCACCUUAUCUUAGCGGCGGACGGGUGAGUAAUGCUUAGGAAUCUGCCUAUUAGUGGGGGACAACAUUCCGAAAGGAAUGCUAAUACCGCAUACGCCCUACGGGGGAAAGCAGGGGAUCUUCGGACCUUGCGCUAAUAGAUGAGCCUAAGUCGGAUUAGCUAGUUGGUGGGGUAAAGGCCUACCAAGGCGACGAUCUGUAGCGGGUCUGAGAGGAUGCUCCGCCACACUGGGACUGAGACACGGCCCAGACUCCUACGGGAGGCAGCAGUGGGGAAUACUGGACAAUGGGCGGAAGCCUGAUCCAGCCAUGCCGCGUGUGUGAAGAAGGCCUUUUGGUUGUAAAGCACUUUAAGCGAGGAGGAGGCUACCUGGAUUAAUACUCUAGGAUAGUGGACGUUACUCGCAGAAUAAGCACCGGCUAACUCUGUGCCAGCCGCCGCGGUAAGAC